rnacentral:rRNA from 1 species
AAAGGUCGGGGGAGUGACGUCAAAUCAUCAUGCCCUUAUGACCUGGGCUACAAACGUGAUACAAUGGCUGAACAAAGGGCAGCGAAGGAGCGAUCUGGAGCGAAACCCAAAAAGACAGUCUCAGUUCGGAUUGAAGUCUGCAACUCGACUUCAUGAAGUCGGAAUCGCUAGUAAUCGCGGAUCAGAACGCCGCGGUGAAUACGUUCUCCGGGGUUU